AACGAACGCUGGCGGCGUGCCUAACACAUGCAAGUCGAACGAGAAAGGGGCUUCGGCUCCGAGUAAAGUGGCGCACGGGUGAGUAACACGUGGGUAACCUGCCUCUAAGAUUGGGAUAACUCGUCGAAAGAUGAGCUAAUACCGAAUAAGACCACAGUUUCUACGGGGACAGAGGUCAAAGGUAGCCUCUGCUUGCAAGCUAUCACUUAGAGAUGGGCCUGCGCACCAUUAGCUAGUUGGUAGGGUAACGGCCUACCAAGGCAAAGAUGGUUAGCUGGUCUGAGAGGAUGAUCAGCCACACUGGAACUGAGACACGGUCCAGACUCCUACGGGAGGCAGCAGUGGGGAAUAUUGCGCAAUGGGCGAAAGCCUGACGCAGCAACGCCGCGUGAGUGAUGAAGGCCUUCGGGUCGUAAAGCUCUGUCGGGAGGAACGAAUGCUCCUGAGGUUAACAGCCUCGGGAGGUGACGGUACCUUCAAAGGAAGCACCGGCUAACUCUGUGCCAGCAGCCGCCGCCGUAA
rnacentral:rRNA from 1 species